UACGUAGGCAGCAAGCGUUGUUCGGAGUUACUGGGCGUAAAGGGUGCGUAGGCGGUUGUUUAAGUUUGGUGUGAAAUCUCCCGGCUCAACUGGGAGGGUGCGCCGAAUACUGAAUGACUAGAGUGCGGGAGAGGAGAGUGGAAUUCCUGGUGUAGCGGUGAAAUGCGUAGAUAUCAGGAGGAACACCGGUGGUGUAGACGGCUCUCUAGUACGGUACUGACGCUGAGACGCGAAAGCGUGGGGAGCGAACAGG
rnacentral:rRNA from 1 species